rnacentral:lncRNA from 1 species
UUUCAGUUAUUUUCUUAAUGUUACUUUGGUGGUACAGUUAAUAGUUUAAUAACAAAUCUAGUUUGACACCAAUUAAGCUUCAGUAAUGCAUAAAAACUGUUCUUAUGCAGCCCCAUGCUCCCCCCUUGUGCUGUAAUUGAUAUAUGGUACGUUUCUUUAAACUGUGAAUGAUACUUCAGUCAUUUUUGUCAACAAUCAAAACUUAGGGAAUUCCAAGUUAACAUCUUUGCCUGUGAGCUAGUUAUUGACAGGAAAAAGUUUCAUUCUUUUGCUCCACAUUAUUCUGCUGUCUUUUGUCCAAAUAAACACUAACAAGCCAGUUGUCAUCCAGUUUCCUGUGCAGUCUCUUGCCUACAGCUUCACUUGGAAAGACCAAGUCAUCCAAGAUUGCAUUGUGCACAGGUUUCUGGUGUGGCUCCUGGGAUCCUUUGGCGAUUUUUUUACACAACUUUUAAAAAUUGAUUUAGUUGAGCAAUAAAGCCCACAUACUUCCAACUGGAUUUUUUUCUCCAAUUCAGUAACUAGCUGGACUUGGAAUUUCUGAUAAGAUUUCAGUUCAGGAUCUAUAAAAAGAUUGAUAGCUUUUCCAAC